GCCGAGAUAGCUCAGUAGGUAGAGCGAGGGACUGAAAAUCCCUGCGUGGGCGGUUCGAUUCCGUCUCUCGGCA
rnacentral:tRNA from 1 species